UACAGGGGGGUGCAAACGUUGCUCGGAAUCAUUGGGCGUAAAGCGCGCGUAGGCGGUUGCUUAUGUCGGAUGUGAAAGCCCUCGGCUUAACUGAGGAAGUGCAUCCCGGAAAACGUGACGCUAGGACGUCAAGGCAUGAUGAAGUACCGGAAAAAAAGGAAGGGGGGUUCCGGCCGGGGGAAAAUUUUCCCCCCGGGGUUGGUUAA
rnacentral:rRNA from 1 species